rnacentral:rRNA from 1 species
UACGUAGGGACCAAGCGUUGUUCGGAUUUACUGGGCGUAAAGGGCGCGUAGGCGGCGCGGUAAGUCACUUGUGAAAUCUCUGAGCUUAACUCAGAACGGCCAAGUGAUACUGCAGUGCUAGAGUGUGGAAGGGGCAAUCGGAAUUCUUGGUGUAGCGGUGAAAUGCGUAGAUAUCCGGAGGAACACCAGUGGCGAAGGCGACUUUCUGGCCUGUUCUUGACGCUGAGGCGCGAAAGCUAGGGGAGCAAACGGG